rnacentral:rRNA from 1 species
UACGUAGGGUGCGAGCGUUAAUCGGAAUUACUGGGCGUAAAGCGUGCGCAGGCGGUUGUGUAAGACAGGUGUGAAAUCCCCGGGCUUAACCUGGGAACUGCGCUUGUGACUGCACAGCUAGAGUAUGGCAGAGGGGGGUGGAAGUUCCACGUGUAGCAGUGAAAUGCGUAGAGAUGUGGAGGAACACCGAUGGCGAAGGCAGCCCCCUGGGCCAAUACUGACGCUCAUGCACGAAAGCGUGGGGAGCAAACAGG